CGUCUAUAUACGUAUAGCAUAUCAAUAAGCGGAGGAAAAGAAACUAACUAAGGAUUCCCUUAGUAACGGCGAGUGAAGCGGGAAGAGCUCAAAUUUGAAAUCUUCAAGGUUUACCUUGACGAAUUGUAGUUUAAAGAAGUGUUUUCUGUUAGGUGAGUUUGGUAAAAGUUCUUUGGAAUAGGACAUCAUAGAGGGUGAGAAUCCCGUAUUUGAUCAUUACUUCUAGCUUUGUGAUACACUUUCAAAGAGUCGGAUUGUUUGGGAAUGCAGUCCAAAAUGGGUGGUAAAUUUCAUCUAAAGCUAAAUAUUGGCGAGAGACCGAUAGCGAACAAGUACCGUGAGGGAAAGAUGAAAAGAACUUUGAAAAGAGAGUUAAACAGUACGUGAAAUUGUCAAAAGGGAAGCGUUCGACACCAGUGUUGUUUUCUCGAAAAUCAAUUAAAAAAGACCGGAUUUUGUGUUGUAUUGACUUUAUCAGCUUUCUGCACUUUUUUCUUGUCUUUUUUAAUGCACUUUUCGUUUAACAAGUCAACAUCAAUUUCUUUUGUUGUAAAAGGGUCAUUGGAAGGUGGCUUUCAUUUCGGUGAAAGUGUUUAUAGCCUUUGGCCUCUGCAAUCGGAGAGAUUGAGGUCUGCAGCGUAGAUCCUUCGGGGUUAGAUACAUUUGUGCUAAGUUAUAGCCUUUCAUAGACAACUUGUUGACUAUGAUCAGUCAUGUAGCUUACUCGCUUAUGCUAUUUUACCUACGCUUAGGAUGUUGACUGAUAUGUAGUCGU
rnacentral:rRNA from 1 species